rnacentral:lncRNA from 1 species
AUGUCCCUUCUGACUUUUCAGAACGUGGCACUCAAACUGGGUUUAUCUCAUCCCCUCCCAAGUGCUCUACUCAGGGCAGACUCGGUGGCUAAUUCCUACCCCGCACACUGGGAAUCCGACAUCAAAGCAGAUACAGACACAGGAGCACAUAGAAGCAAAGGAGAGAAGGAACUUCAGGGUUCCCUGUGGCGCCUCAGUCCCUGCUUCAAGCUCCUUGGCCCUGGGCUCCGAGACACCUCCCUCCAACCUCAGAACAAGUCCUCCUUGUCACUUAAGGAAGAAAGGAGGCCAACUCCACAAGAUCCCACCCUGGCAGGUGUGUGAGCAGGAAGAGGAGCCAGGAAACACUGAUGCUGAUAGAAGGGACAGAACCACACCCAGCCNGAAAGCUAGAUACACGGCAUGGGAGGGAGGGGGAAAUGAGGACUGACUACAAAUGGGUGUGGGGUUUCUUUCAGGGGUAAUGAAAAUAUAAAAUUAGGUCCUAGCCUCCUUUCCAAUACACCAAAUAUACAUCAACCAAUAGUGUGCAAGGAUGGGUGGGGACCUAGCAGGGUGGAGGAACCCCGGUGGGAGACUAUUCCAUUGUGAAGAAGCCAGUGCCAUUUUUCUUUAAUAACUGACAGUGAACAUGUCUAGACAUUUUCAUGAUCAGUGAAAACACUACAUAGAGGGAACACGAGAACCAAAGGUGUGGGACCCGCCCCCAAGCCACCCCUCUGACUUUGGUUGGCUGUUUCAGGAAGAAAGGAGGCCAACUCCACAAGAUCCCACCCUGGCAGGUGUGUGAGCAGGAAGAGGAGCCAGGAAACACUGAUGCUGAUAGAAGGGACAGAACCACACCCAGCCAGAGAUCACUGUCACAGUGCUAAGUCCAUCAGCCAUGUGAGGAACAGAAUGGAGAAAACCCACUUCGAUGACAGGAGCCUUCCAGACGGGUCUCUUCCCCACCAGUCUUACCUUCUGCUGACUGUAGACACAGCUUCUGUGAAACACCCAGCACAGGUGAGAGCUCAGUGAAUAUUUUUUUAGGGAAUUAAUAGCAACAUCACUUCUGACAGCAAACAAAAAAGAAUGAAUUUAAAUGUCCUACAAUAGACUGUUGGUACUGAUACACUGAUGAUGUCUCUAAUUAGGCAAGUUAUUUAGGGCUACCAUGCCUGAAUCUUUCUCUUCGCUAAAAUGAAGAGAGUAACGGAACUUGUCUCCUAUUAUGAAGAUUUAAAUGACCUUAGGUAUGUAACUUCAUAGCAUAAGUGAGUACAAAAUAAAUGUUAUCUGUUACUGUGGUUCCA